CUUUGAGCUGUAGGCUUCUAUUCUUCUGCCAUCUUGAUCUGGGAGCUCUGGUGGGAAAUACACCGAGGUGGAGUAUAUUCCAUAUAGGAAGCAGAGAAUGGAGACGAGGAAAGAAUUCCAGAUCAUCUGUUGGAGUAAGCAAAUGAGAGAUACUGUGGGAAUAAGCGACUCUUGCCAGCUAAAAGCUUUCAGAGUCUCAGAAUGCAGGUGUUAAGGAAUGGAGCAGGAUUUUGCUUCCAUGUUCUGCACGGAGGUGGGUCAGAGUGGCUCCGUGACAUACUCUUCAGAGCAGAGCUUCUCUCUGUGAAUCAAGAGCACCUUCUGUUGGCAACUGAGUCUCCUGAGUCUUAAUAGUAGAGGUACAUUUCAGCAUUGAAGCAAACUUACAGGAGCCUGAGAACAGAGACAAUAUAUGAGUUCAAGUUGCUCCACAUCCUUGCCAACCCUUGGAAUUCCAAUCUUCUUGAUUCUAACCAUUCGAAUGGAGCUACAAAGCCCAGGGAGGCACGGGGCUGAAUCCACAGCUUCUCUGGCCUUCGGACCCUCACAGUGACCUUGACGGACCCUGAGAUGGGGAUGAACGUAAAGGACAAACAUGUGAGGAGCAGAGAGAGAUUCCUGGCCUGGCCUAUAGUUUCUGCUUGCCAUUGGAGGUGAAGAAUGGCUGUUGGAUUCUACAUGCUUCCCUCUGCUGGGAAAAAAAGAAAACACUGAAGAAUUGCUCUGAAUUGCUCAAAUUGUCAAAUGAACUUGAAUUUGGAGGCUCCGAACAGAAAUUUCAACAAAACCCUUCAACCUGACUUACGCUUCGGUGAUCAGGUGACCAAUGUCUUCUGCACAGACCUGAGUUGUGCUAAAGCUGCAGGAAUCCAACCUCCUUGGGGUCUGGGAGCCUGAGAAGGGACAAGGAGGGUUGGGACAGAGACCUCAGGGGCCUUGUGGAGUUGAGACAUUGGGGAUCCUGCAGCUCCCCUGUGCUGCUGGUAGUAAAUAAUAAACAAAGUAUCAAAGAAAUGAUAAAACGAUAAUCGGAUAUAUUACUCUACAGAAU